rnacentral:snRNA from 1 species
CGGUAACAUACGUUUGAACCGUU